rnacentral:rRNA from 1 species
UGGGGAAUAUUGCACAAUGGGCGCAAGCCUGAUGCAGCCAUGCCGCGUGUGUGAAGAAGGCCUUCGGGUUGUAAAGCACUUUCAGCGAGGAGGAAGGUGGUGAGCUUAAUACGCUCAUCAAUUGACGUUACUCGCAGAAGAAGCACCGGCUAACUCCGUGCCAGCAGCCGCGGUAAUACGGAGGGUGCAAGCGUUAAUCGGAAUUACUGGACGUAAAGCGCACGCAGGCGGUUUGUUAAGUCAGAUGUGAAAUCCCCGGGCUCAACCUGGGAACUGCAUUUGAAACUGGCAAGCUAGAGUCUCGUAGAGGGGGGUAGAAUUCCAGGUGUAGCGGUGAAAUGCGUAGAGAUCUGGAGGAAUACCGGUGGCGAAGGCGGCCCCCUGGACGAAGACUGACGCUCAGGUGCGAAAGCGUGGGGCAGCAAACAGGAUUAGAUACCCUGGUAGUCCAGCGCUGUAAACGAUGUCGAUUUGGAGGUUGUGCCCUUGAGGCGUGGCUUCCGGAGCUAACGCGUUAAAUCGACCGCCUGGGGGAGUACGGCCGCAAGGUU